rnacentral:tRNA from 1 species
UGGCUUAGAGGGUAAAGCGUCUGCCUGCAAUGCAGGAGACCCAGGUUUGAUCCCGGG